rnacentral:rRNA from 1 species
UAAGCUAGAAGUGAAAGCGUGUGGCUCAACCAUACUCACAUUUCUAAAACUACUAAGCUAGAGUAUAAGAGAGGUAGCUGGAAUUUCUAGUGUAGGAGUGAAAUCCGUAGAUAUUAGAAGGAACACCGAUGGCGUAGGCAGGCUACUGGCUUAUUACUGACACUAAGGCACGAAAGCGUGGGGAGCGAACAGGAUUAGAUACCCUGGUAGUCCACGCCGUAAACUAUGGAUGCUA